rnacentral:lncRNA from 1 species
CUUUGUUUUUAAAUUUUUGUUUCAUUUCUUUCCUAAAUCUUUUUAUCAUCUUAGCUGAAUCUUUACUCAAAUCCCUCUUCUUUAAUUGUGAACCUUGUGAUGCUCACAGUGCCAGGUGAGGCAGCACUGCAGCAUGUCCUCCUGACAUCACUUUUCCACAUCCUUAUAUUUCUUAUUCUUCCACAUCACACACAGCAGAUAUAGUUCUUUCCCCCCUGUUCCCAGUUCCUCAUAGGAACAGUUACUUGUUAGCUUUGUAUGUUAAAGGGAGGCACUGUACUGUCUGGUUUUGCACUACAAAAAGACAGAAUGGUCAUGAUUCAUUUCCCAAAUGAAAACUCAGACUCAAGGCCCCAGUGGAAUUGAAACUAGCCACACUGUAUUUCCCUUCUAUUAGAAAGAAAUAAAAAAUAAUGCUGGCAGAGUGAGUGAUUUGGUGGUUGAAUCACACACUGAUCUGGUGCUCCUGCUGACACUGGCACUCUGUCAAGCUGCAGAGCAGCCAAGGAGCAGAGGCACAACCAACAGCUGCCUUCCCACCCUGGGGGCAGCAAAUCAGGGACUGAUGGUAAAGCUUUUUCCCACUUGAAUGACUAUGGCCUAGUUGGACUGAGAAUAGCUGGCAAACUCAAAAUGUUUUCCUUUAAAUCCCUCUAUAUAUAUUCAUGCCUCCUUUAGGCUGAAUAUACCUUUUGGUGAAAAAUGUUCAACAAAAAUUGCUAAUUGAUGAGUAAACCUAGAGUUAGUUUACUUGUGCUACACAAAACAUCAAGUGCCAGCUGUGCAGAUGCAAAAUAAACAUCAAAAACAGAAAGCUGUGUCGGGAAAGAAUACAGCAGAUGAGCUUGGAACAGCAGAACAAGAUGGAGCUACCUACUUGCUUGCAGAAUCAAUAAAGCCCUUGCCUCUUAGUCUUGAGCAGCAGAGGAGCUAUUGCGACUCACUCAGCGGGAGCAAGAGCUCGGUGUAUUCCCUCUGGUGGGGUCUGAUGGAAAAGUGGCAAGAAUUAGAAGCAUCAGUAAUACAAAACUGCAUGUUUACAAAACAUCAGCUUUAUCAUUAA